AAACUAAUGCUAUAAUAAUUCUUACAAGCAAUGUUUAUGGUGGUGGCUAGCCUUCUUUUUACUAAGCGAGGUGAUGCCUAUGUGUUAUAUUUUUGUUAGGCUCUCUUAGAAUGGAUAGAUAAUGACCGUUUAUGAAGCACUGUCUUUUGCACUAUUAUUAAACAGUCAAAAUAACCA
rnacentral:sRNA from 22 species